CGGGUAUUAGCGCUACUUACCUUAAGCAAAUGGGUUGACACGGAAGUUUUUGUACUUCUCGGAGCCUAGCUAGAUGGGCGGGCAUGCUGUAGCAAAUUCGAUGUCGUUCUGGACUCAGUUAAAUACAUUCUUCUUAUCUAGGUAGUCUAUUUACGUUUGUUGUCAGGAUUGAUUGAACAGAAGACUGAAAGAGGAACCAUAUUUAGUGACGCCUCUCCGCAGUUGACUCGACGUAGGAGACCCGCAAUUCUUAAUUUACAAAUCAGUGUGAUUUCUACAGGAAAACUAGUACUGGAUACACCAAAGUAAACAUUUCCCCUCGAACAGAAAUUUAAGGCCAUGUACACACUGGAGGAGUGGUUUAUUAUAGGGUUAUCUAUAUUUGUGAUAGUUCUCAGGUUAGCCUAUUUCUUGUACCAUCGCUGCCUCUCCAAGCUAAGAGCCCUGCCUGUCGCGCACCAGUCUGAUGAGUGUGCCGGUGUUCGUCUCCUCUCCUGGCGUCCCUUAGAGGAUUGGGACGCCCCAGAGUCACAUGGGCCUCACUUAGCUGAGCCAGAGGACCAGGAUUUCGCUCCACCAUCAUAUAGUUCACUCCAGCUUGAUCUGCCCCCUCCCUACCCAAAGGACUGCCGACCUGCAGAGUCAGACCUCCAGUAUGGUUCCCCGCCCUCCUACUCAGAGAUCUGUGUCUCCCAGCGCCAACCACAACACCAGCUGUCCUCAGUGCUAGAACUGCCCCCACCACCACCACCGCCACACCCUCCUACACCAUCUACAGAACCGCCCCACCCCCCCACACUCUGCCUCAUCGAUGUAGAGGUGACCAGACUCUAGGGUGGCCAGAUAUGGGAGACCUCUGAGACCUCUGCUCACCACACACACACAAAAUGAGUCACUAUACACUCUUUACACCAAAAUAAGGAAGUGUUUUACUUAAAUAAUAAGCAACUGGCAUACCGGAUACUACCAAUAUCAAGGACAUUGUUGGGACAACAAAGACAGCUGACAUUAAUGACUGUGUUCGCCCCUUUGGAAAGGAGAAAUGCUGGCAUCUCUUGGAUGCAACCAAAAACAAGGACAUUCGUUUGACAGUCACUGAUGGGACAGUAGUUCAGUUGACAAUUGUGGCUGUGCUUACUUGUCCCUCUUUAAGACUGGGCCUAACCUCAGGUGCAGAGAAGAGUCUACACAGCUAAGUCCCAUUCACAACCCCCUAAAGGUUGUAGACGAACAAUGCUAGUGCCAUAUGCUCGCCAUAACAUUCCGUUUCCUUGGUGACGAGCCAUCGCCCCGGAGAACAGGGUUUUGAUGAUUCGUCACCAUGCCCACUCUCAUCCAGGGACCCUGGAGAGUUUCUGGGACAUCCUAGAC
ensembl:lncRNA